GACGAACGCUGGCGGCGUGCUUAACACAUGCAAGUCGAACGGAAAGGCCCUGCUUUUGUGGGGUGCUCGAGUGGCGAACGGGUGAGUAACACGUGAGUAACCUGCCCUUGACUUUGGGAUAACUUCAGGAAACUGGGGCUAAUACCGGAUAGGAGCUCCUGCUGCAUGGUGGGGGUUGGAAAGUUUCGGCGGUUGGGGAUGGACUCGCGGCUUAUCAGCUUGUUGGUGGGGUAGUGGCUUACCAAGGCUUUGACGGGUAGCCGGCCUGAGAGGGUGACCGGCCACAUUGGUACUGAGAUACGGCCCAGACGCCUACGGGAGGCAGCAGGGGGGAAUAUUGCACAAUGGGCGGAAGCCUGAUGCAGCAACGCCGCGUGCGGGAUGACGGCCUUCGGGUUGUAAACCGCUUUCGCCUGUGACGAAGCGUGAGUGACGGUAAUGGGUAAAGAAGCACCGGCUAACUACGUG
rnacentral:rRNA from 1 species